GCCGUCUUAGCUCAGCAGGAAGAGCGGCUGCCCCGUAAGCAGCGGGCCGAUGGUUCAAGCCCAUCAGGCGGCACCA
rnacentral:tRNA from 1 species